GUACUGUCCUCGGGGUGCUGAACGCAAUAGUUGUUCGGCUGAGAAAUACCCGUUGAACCUGAACAGGGUAAUUCCUGCGAAGGGAAGGUGAUACAUUUUUCG
rnacentral:ncRNA from 2 species